rnacentral:tRNA from 1 species
GGUUUUGUGGCUCAAGUGGUAGAGUGCUUGCUUCACAUGCAUGAAGCCCUGGGUUCGAUUCCUCAGCACUA